rnacentral:rRNA from 2 species
UGAACGACUCUCGGCAACGGAUAUCUCGGCUCUUGCAUCGAUGAAGAACGUAGCGAAAUGCGAUACUUGGUGUGAAUUGCAGAAUCCCGUGAACCAUCGAGUCUUUGAACGCAAGUUGCGCCCGAAGCCAUUAGGUUGAAGGCACGUCUGCCUGGGCGUCACGC